rnacentral:rRNA from 1 species
GACGAACGCUGGCGGCGUGCUUAACACAUGCAAGUCGAACGGAAAGGCCCUGCUUUUGUGGGGUGCUCGAGUGGCGAACGGGUGAGUAACACGUGAGUAACCUGCCCUUGACUUUGGGAUAACUUCAGGAAACUGGGGCUAAUACCGGAUAGGAGCUCCUGCUGCAUGGUGGGGGUUGGAAAGUUUCGGCGGUUGGGGAUGGACUCGCGGCUUAUCAGCUUGUUGGUGGGGUAGUGGCUUACCAAGGCUUUGACGGGUAGCCGGCCUGAGAGGGUGACCGGCCCCAUUGGGACUGGGGUACGGCCCAGACUCCUACGGGGGGCAGCAGUGGGGAAUAUUGCCCAAUGGGCGGAAGCCUGAUGCAGCAACGCCGCGUGCGGGAUGACGGCCUUCGGGUUGUAAACCGCUUUCGCCUGUGACGAAGCGUGAGUGACGGUAAUGGGUAAAGAAGCACCGGCUACCUACGU